GAUUCUCUACAAGUCAAUAAAAUUUAAAAAAAAAAAGAAAAAGAAAAAUAAACCCUACCUUCAUCGUCAAUAACCAUCUACUUCUCUUAUUUCCAUUCAUUUUCAAUCAUUUUAGCCGUCAUCGCAUAACAAGUAAGCUCACUGCUCUUUUCUCUCCUUCAAUAUUACUAUUCGUAUCUGCAAAUUUGAGCAAUUUUUAUGAUUAUCAGGUUUUGAGGUCUUUCAUCCUCCAAUUUGAUUUGUUUAGAUCUGGUUGUGGACGGAUGAGGGUUCUUAUUCAUCAAGAUGUAUAUCUUUGUUAUUUUUUUUUCUGAUUUUGAUCAGUGAUUUUCAUAGUGUUUGGGUCAAAUCAAAUACAAACUUAAAAUUUAUUUGAAAUGAAUUCUAGUUUAUACACACUUUCUAAACCAUCCUCUAUAAUAAAAUAAAAAAUUAAAAUUUCUUCCUAUAGAAAAAAAACAUUGUAUCUAAUAAACUUAUAACAAGUAUAUAAAGCAAUUAAUAAUAUAUACGUGACGUCUAUUUAACAGCAUAAAUAAUGUCUUCAUUUAAGUGCAUAAUGAUAGAGAACGAUUAAAUGAGGAGAGUGAUAGGGAGAGAAAGGUAGGGAGAGAGGGGGAGAGAAG
rnacentral:misc_RNA from 1 species